UUGCUGAUCUGUAGUGUUUGCUGAUUUCCCUAAAUGUUUCCACAGUGGUCAAUUUCAAGAACUAAAAUGAAGUCACUUUACACAGAGCCGGGAAGAGGAGAGCAUAAUCCUCCUGACCAGUUGAGAUAUGCAACAUAUUUAACCAUCUGUUUGGCAAGAGCAUUUGAUCCAUCACAUUGGAAGCCUGACCAAUCAGAAUGUAUGCCCAAAUAAUCAAAAUGGACACCCAACCAGUCAAAUGGAUGCCUGACCAAUCUGAAUUAAAAGCCAACCAAUCAGAAUGAACACCUGACCCAUCAUAAUAAAUGAAGAGUAUACAGCCAAAUACUGGUCUCCCAUUUAUUAUUGAACUUGUCACUUGUGGAUUCUCCCCUCAAUUAGAUGGGAAGCAAACUGAGGGAAGGGAUCAUAUGAUAGAUCCCUUUGUAUUCUCC
rnacentral:lncRNA from 1 species